rnacentral:lncRNA from 1 species
GAUCAUUACUUAAAACGUGUCAUGCAGUGGUGUAGAGGUUGGGUGAGAACGGUACGUUUUGGUUUUGCAUCAUUAUCAACAAUAGCCGCAAGGGUUAUGAGGUGAAUCAGGAUGAGAAAAAAUCGUAAAGGCGAAAGAAAACAGUCGACUAAGCAUCUCCGACACGGCAACAACUGCAGCGCACUAUUUGUUACCAACUGCCUUCUUCGUCGUUUUACUAGAUCGCAAUCAUGGUAAACUAUGGCAUCGUGCUGCUGUUGGGUUUUGUAUCGAUGGCUGGGUCGGCCAUUGGUGUAUCGAUGUCUCGUGGGUAACCAAUUGCAUUCCUCGUCGUUUAAUCAAUUCGCAAUCAUGGUUACAGAGUUGGAAGGUGAAUCAGGAGAAGAAAAAUCGUUUUAACGUAAGAGAAAGGGCGAUAGGAAUCAGUCGAAUGAGCAUCUCCGAUACGGCAACAUUUGCAGCGGCACUAUCUGUCACCAACUGGAUUUUUCAUCGUACAACCUCGUCGUGCUGCUGUUGGAAGUUGUAUCGUUGACGGCUAGGUCGACCACUGGUGUGUCGAUGUCUCCUUAAUGGCGGAUACCAAACCGCAGUGCCGUCGCCUUACUACAAAACCACAACAUACGCAACAACCGGUUGCUACACCACUAAGGCUCCAGAGUAUUACACGACAACUUGUGAUGCCCCGAGCUACUACACCGUAGCUCUGAAGUAUAACUUUGUCCGAGCUACAUCACCAAAGAGCCGGAGUCUACACCGAGGCUCCCAAAGUACUACACCACUAAGGCACCGGAAUACUGCACGACUAUGAAUGCUGCCCCUGCCUACAACACCAAGGCCCCAAGGCCCCUAAUUACAACAACACCGAAGCGCCCAAGUACUCCACUACAUCCUUUGUGCUCCGAGCUACUACACCGACGCCCCGAAGUGUUACGCAAGGAGUACUCUGUUUAAAAGUAGAGAAAAGGUAGUAGAAAUCAGUCGAGUGAGGAUCUCCGGCAAUUCAACAUCUGCAGUGCACUAUCUGUCACCAACUGCAUUCCUCAUCGUGUAACCAAACCGCAAUUAUGAUGUCGUGAUGCUGUUUGGUGUUGUAUCUUUGAUGGCUGGGUCGACCACUGGUGCACCGAUGUCUCCUUGGUAUGGCGGAUACCUAACCGCAACGCCGCCGCCUUACUACACGACAACAACUUACGCCAAGACCAGUUACUACACCGAAGUACUACACCACUAAGGCACUGGAGUAUUAUACCACAACUUACGUUGCCCCGAGCUACUACACCGACGCCACGAAGUGUUACUCUGCCCCGAGUUACUACACCACCAAGGUGCUGGAUUACUACACGAAAACGAAUGUCUCAUCCUACUACACCGAGGCCAAAGUACUACUCUGUUUCCAGCUACUACACCGAGGCUUCAGCUUAUUACUCCACCAAAACGGUCGAAUACUACACCGAAGUGCCAAAGUACUACUCUGCCCCG